UGUGUGUAGUGUGUGCCCUUUACAAAGUGUGUAAUGUGGGUAGUUGUAGUUGUGUGUUCAAAAUGAAACACAAAGCCUCUAUUUAUAGACUUUGGGGAACAAACUCAGCUUGUGCUUGCGCUUGGCGCAAGGAAGCUCUCCACCAAUCAGAAUAUAGCAACCUCGUUCCUCCUUUAACUUGUGCCAAAACAAUUCAAAAGAAUUGUUUAAAUGAAUCAACCG
rnacentral:lncRNA from 1 species